UACCGGAUAAGUCUUUACGGAGAAAGCUUUAUGCACCAUUGGAUGAGCCUGCACUUGAUUAGUUUGUUGGUGGGGUAAUGGCCUACCAAGACUGUGAUCAAUAGCUGAUUUGAGAGGAUGAUCAGCCACAUUGGGACUGAGACACGGCCCAAACUCCUACGGGAGGCAGCAGUGGGGAAUCUUGCACAAUGGAGGAAACUCUGAUGCAGCGAUGCCGCGUGAGUGAAGAAGGCCCUUGGGUUGUAAAGCUCUUUCGUCGGGGAAGAAAAUGACUGUACCCGAAUAAGAAGG
rnacentral:rRNA from 1 species